CAACUAACGAGUGAAGAGGGAAGAGCUCAUCAUUGGCAUCUGGCAGCGUCUCGCUGUCCGAGUUGUAGAUGAGAAGAGUGGGCCAUCUGGACUGCAUGGUGUCCAAGUACAAUAGGCCGUCAGUGGGACAUCAUAGAGGGUGACAAUCCCGUCCUUGACACCAAUGUACGAGUCCUUUUACGAUGCCUAUCUCGGAGAGUCGAGCAGUUUGGGAUUUGCUGCUUACACAUGGGAGGUGGAUUCCUUCCAAAGCUAAAUACAGGCAAGAGACC
rnacentral:rRNA from 1 species